ACGAACGCUGGCGGCGUGCUUAACACAUGCAAGUCGAACGGAAAGGCCCUGCUUUUGUGGGGUGCUCGAGUGGCGAACGGGUGAGUAACACGUGAGUAACCUGCCCUUGACUUUGGGAUAACUUCAGGAAACUGGGGCUAAUACCGGAUAGGAGCUCCUGCUGCAUGGGGGGGGUUGGAAAGUUUCGGCGGUUGGGGAUGGACUCGCGGCUUAUCAGCUUGUUGGUGGGGUAGUGGCUUACCAAGGCUUUGACGGGUAGCCGGCCUGAGAGGGUGACCGGCCACAUUGGGACUGAGAUACGGCCCAGACUCCUACGGGAGGCAGCAGUGGGGAAUAUUGCACAAUGGGCGGAAGCCUGAUGCAGCAACGCCGCGUGCGGGAUGACGGCCUUCGGGUUGUAAACCGCUUUCGCCUGUGACGAAGCGUGAGUGACGGUAAUGGGUAAAGAAGCACCGGCUAACUACGUGC
rnacentral:rRNA from 1 species